ACUACACGAAGCCGGAAUCGCUAGUAAUCGCGAAUCAGAAUGUCGCGGUGAAUACGUUCCCGGGUCUUGUACACACCGCCCGUCACACCAUGGGAGUCGGAAAUGCCCGAAGUCAGUGACCCAACCGCAAGGAGGGAGCUGCCGAAGGCAGGUCCGGUAACUGGGGUGAAGUCGUAACAAGGUACC
rnacentral:rRNA from 1 species